rnacentral:rRNA from 1 species
GACGUAGGUUCCGAGCGUUAUCCGGAUUUACUGGGCGUAAAGCGUGUUCAGGCGGCUUCGCAAGUCGGGCAUGAAAUCUCUCGGCUCAACCGGGAGGGGCUGUCCGAUACUGCGGGGCUUGAGGGCAGUAGAGGGUGGUGGAAUUCCGGGUGUAGUGGUGAAAUGCGUAGAGAUCCGGAGGAACACCAGUGGCGAAAGCGGCCACCUGGACUGUACCUGACGCUCAAACACGAAAGCUAGGGGAGCGAACGGG